AUUUAAAGAAUAAUCACAAAGAGAAUCUUCCAGAACCAAGCUGUCCACAAGUCACUGGAUCAGUUUCCUAGCAGACCAUCAAUAUCCUCCACAUGUCAUGAUGUGAAUAUGUAAAUAUGUGGAGUAUUAACAGUGAGAGGGAAACAGCAUGAUGCCAUGUGUUGUCCAGCUGCAGCUGACUGACUCUGUGUGUUUGCAUAUGUGUCCUGCCUCUCUGCUCCCAGCCGUUAAGAGGCCAGUGUUGAUCAGUGGCUGUCCAGGCCUUUCACAGCCACUGACACGCCGGCAGCACAAUGAUGAUGUCACUGACUCUACUGCUGGCCACCCUGGGGCUCCUUGUUCAGGGUUCAUCAGGAGAAAUCGUCCUGACUCAGUCUCCUGGAUCUCAGUCUGUUCUUCCAGGACAGUCUGUCUCCAUCACAUGUAGAUCCAGUUCAAGUAUCAGUAACUACCUCCACUGGUACCUUCAGAAACCUGGAGAAGCUCCUAAACUCCUGAUUCGUUAUGCUACAGCUCGUCAUUCUGGAGUUUCUGAUCGUUUCAGUGGAAGUUAUUCUGGAUCUGUCUUCACUUUGACCAUCAGUAGAGUUCAGAAUUAAGAUUCAGGAGUUUAUUAUUGUCAGCAGGGUAACAGCUGGCC